rnacentral:lncRNA from 1 species
AAGGGCCUCCAAAGGGUCUGUUGGGUUUAGGCGCCCUCUCCUAAAAAGACGUCGGCCUUAUAGAUCCUCAGAACUUGCCUAAAUGAUCUCUUCAGCUUAAAAAGCACCACGUCUUGUGCCAAGACUUGUGCUUGGGGGCUAUGGACCGUCAUAAUAUUCCUAAGGACCUGAAAGACCUCCAAGACCUCCAAAAGGACUUUUAGACCCCUCA